rnacentral:rRNA from 1 species
UACGUAGGGGGCAAGCGUUGUCCGGAAUUAUUGGGCGUAAAGCGCGCGCAGGCGGCUUUUUAAGUCUGAUGUGAAAGCCCACGGCUCAACCGUGGAAGGUCAUUGGAAACUGAAAGGCUUGAGUACAGAAGAGGAAAGCGGAAUUCCACGUGUAGCGGUGAAAUGCGUAGAGAUGUGGAGGAACACCAGUGGCGAAGGCGGCUUUCUGGUCUGUAACUGACGCUGAGGCGCGAAAGCGUGGGGAGCAAACAGG